GUGCUUGCUUCCACAGCACAUAUACCAAAAUUGGAACGAUACAGAGAAGAUUAUCAUGGCCCCUGUGCAAAGAUGACACAUAAAUUUUUGAAGCAUUCCAUAUUAAA